rnacentral:tRNA from 1 species
AAUAAUGAAGUAAAUACUUACGAUUUAAUUUCGACUUAAAUUUCUGGUUAAUUUAACCCAUUUUUA